GAUGAACGCUGGCGGCGUGCCUAAUACAUGCAAGUCGAACGAAACUUCUUUAUCACCGAGUGCUUGCACUCACCGAUAAAGAGUUGAGUGGCGAACGGGUGAGUAACACGUGGGCAACCUGCCCAAAAGAGGGGGAUAACACUUGGAAACAGGUGCUAAUACCGCAUAACCAUAGUUACCGCAUGGUAACUAUGUAAAAGGUGGCUAUACUACCGCUUUUGGAUGGGCCCGCGGCGCAUUAGCUAGUUGGUAGGGUAAAGGCUUACCAAGGCAAUGAUGCGUAGCCGAAUUGAGAGGUUGAUCGGCCACAUUGGGACUGAGACACGGCCCAAACUCCUACGGGAGGCAGCAGUAGGGAAUCUUCCACAAUGGGCGAAAGCCUGAUGGAGCAACGCCGCGUGGGUGAAGAAGGUCUUCGGAUCGUAAAACCCUGUUGUUAGAGAAGAAAGUGCGUGAGAGUAACUGUUCACGUUUCGACGGUAUCUAACGAGAAAGCCACGGCUAACUACGUG
rnacentral:rRNA from 1 species